GGAGAGGUGGCCGAGUGGUCGAAGGCACGCCCCUGCUAAGGGCGCAGGGCUCUAAAGGUCCUCGUGGGUUCGAAUCCCAUCCUCUCCGCCA
rnacentral:tRNA from 2 species